GAUGAACGCUGGCGGCGUGCCUAAUACAUGCAAGUCGAGCGAACAGAUGAGGAGCUUGCUCCUCUGACGUUAGCGGCGGACGGGUGAGUAACACGUGGAUAACCUACCUAUAAGACUGGGAUAACUUCGGGAAACCGGAGCUAAUACCGGAUAAUAUAUUGAACCGCAUGGUUCAAUAGUGAAAGACGGUUUUGCUGUCACUUAUAGAUGGAUCCGCGCCGCAUUAGCUAGUUGGUAAGGUAACGGCUCACCAAGGCGACGAUGCGUAGCCGACCUGAGAGGGUGAUCGGCCACACUGGAACUGAGACACGGUCCAGACUCCUACGGGAGGCAGCAGUAGGGAAUCUUCCGCAAAGGGCGAAAGCUUGACGGAGCAACGCCGCGUGAGUGAUGAAGGUCUUCGGAUCGUAAAACUCUGUUAUUAGGGAAGAACAAAUGUGUAAGUAACUAUGCACGUCUUGACGGUACCUAAUCAGAAAGCCACGGCUAACUACGUG
rnacentral:rRNA from 1 species